UUCUCGGACACCACGAUCAAUCGAUUACAUUGCGGAAACUUUCUUCACUAAUUGACGACAAGAUACAAGAAAGAAAAAAAAAAAAAAGUCAUUGAACAAGCGCCACGCAGCACGAGAUUGGUCUUCUUUUGAUAUGAUUUUUUAUGUACGCGACUGCCAUCUUGUUGGGCCGUAAAAGUGUCGGUGGCGCCAUCUGUCCACCAAUUGAACAAUUUAUUUUCCUAAUUAUUCCCGUCCUUUUGCGUGACUCAGACGGUCAUUCGCAGAAAUCAUUCAAAGAGAGAUUCAUCUUCCCACGAAUAGUUGAUCAUCGAGCGGGGAAAACGCGAGCGUGACUCAUUUUGCAAGAGGAAUGUGCGAACACGCCAAUUAAUGACGUGAAUAUACCGGUUCGAUCGUAGAAAGCAAUUAUCGAUGAAAGAAAAGCAACGUUAAUCUUGAACUUCCACUUUCGAAAGAAAAAAAAAACCGGUAUGUUUGAACAGUCGUCUGUCCAAAUGUAGCCUAUGAACGCACAAACACUCUACUGAUCUGUGUAAACUGUAAUAAUCGUUUAUCUCUGAUAACUAUUUGUCAAAUGAUCUACUAGAGUAGUGUAAAUAAAACAUGCACGAACACCCUAGAAUCUCUUCUGAAAGGCGUGUAUCGUUAUGUACCGUCAGUUGGUCAGGUAGAUCUCUGAUCGUUACGAGACGAGUAAUUUAUUCCUGUUUUGCGAAACAAGUUACGAAAAAAACGCGACAACGAUCACGAAUGCUCAGUUGCCCAAGCCGUAGCUAUCCAUUACGUCCCAUUUUCAUGGCGAGAGGACAUCGUGUCUCGGAGCAUCGUCGAUGGGAAAUUUGCAAGCGAAUUAUUCGUCAUAAACGUUGGGCUAUCGAUGUCGCAAACCAGUUGCUAUCUCUGCCGAGGAUGCUCCAAUUACACGCGAUAACGUUACAAGGAUAUCUUUCUUGCUAAUUAAUCAAACGAUAAAAAACGCAUUUAACUUGUAUGAGCAACAGAUGUUGCACUUUCAACGAAAUUCUCAGAAAGUACAUCGUGCUUUUUCUGUUCAAUGCAGGAACAAAGUUGACUUUUAACUUUAUCUU